GACGUAGGGGGCAAGCGUUGUCCGGAAUCAUUGGGCGUAAAGCGCUCGUAGGUGGAUCGGUAAGUCUGCAAAGAAAGACCCGGGCUCAACUCGGGGAACGGUGGUGGAUACUACCGAUCUUGAGGCAAUCAGAGGAUGAUGGAAUUCCCGGUGUAGCGGUGAAGGUGCGUAGAUAUCGGGAAGAACACCCGUGGCGGAAGGCGGCUCUCUGGGACGGUACUGACGCGAGACGCGAAAGCGUGGG
rnacentral:rRNA from 1 species